rnacentral:rRNA from 1 species
CCUACGGGGGGCAGCAGUCGAGAAUCAUUCACAAUGGGGGAAACCCUGAUGGUGCGACGCCGCGUGGGGGAAUGAAGGUCUUCGGAUUGUAAACCCCUGUCAUGUGGGAGCAAAUUAAAAAGAUAGUACCACAAGAGGAAGAGACGGCUAACUCUGUGCCAGCAGCCGCGGUACUACAGAGGUGUCAAGCGUUGUUCGGAAUCACGGGGCGUAAAGCGUGCGUAGGCUGUUUGGUAAGUCGUGUGUGAAAGGCGCGGGCUCAACCCGCGGACGGCACAUGAUACUGCGAGACUAGAGUAAUGGAGGGGGAACCGGAAUUCUCGGUGUAGCAGUGAAAUGCGUAGAUAUCGAGAGGAACACUCGUGGCGAAGGCGGGUUCCUGGACAUUAACUGACGCUGAGGCACGAAGGCCAGGGGAGCGAAAGGGAUUAGAUACCCGAGUAGUC